rnacentral:rRNA from 1 species
GAUGAACGCUAGCGGCAGGCCUAAUACAUGCAAGUCGGACGGGAUUUGGGAGCUUGCUCCUAAUGAGAGUGGCGCACGGGUGCGUAACACGUAUGUAACCUACCUUAGUCAGGGGGAUAGCCUCUCGAAAGAGAGAUUAAGACCGCAUAACAUUAUUGAGUGGCAUCAUUUAAUAAUCAAAUAUUUAUAGGACUAAGAUGGGCAUGCGGAACAUUAGCUAGUUGGUAGGGUAACGGCCUACCAAGGCUACGAUGUUUAGGGGAUCUGAGAGGAUGGCCCCCCACACUGGUACUGAGACACGGACCAGACUCCUACGGGAGGCAGCAGUAAGGAAUAUUGGUCAAUGGGCGGAAGCCUGAACCAGCCAUGCCGCGUGCAGGAAGACGGCCCUACGGGUUGUAAACUGCUUUUAUACGGGAAUAAACCUACUUACGUGUAAGUAGCUGAAUGUACUGUAAGAAUAAGGAUCGGCUAACUCCGUGCCAGCCGCCGCCGUAA